rnacentral:rRNA from 1 species
GCAAGUCGAGCGCUCUCUUCGGAGGGAGCGGCGGACGGGUGAGUAACGCGUGGGAACAUACCCUUUUCUGCGGAAUAGCCACUGGAAACGGUGAGUAAUACCGCAUACGCCCUUCGGGGGAAAGAUUUAUCGGAGAAGGAUUGGCCCGCGUUAGAUUAGGUAGUUGGUGGGGUAAUGGCCUACCAAGCCUACGAUCUAUAGCUGGUUUGAGAGGAUGAUC